GAUGAACGCUGGCGGCGUGCCUAAUACAUGCAAGUCGAGCGAACAGACGAGGAGCUUGCUCCUAUGACGUUAGCGGCGGACGGGUGAGUAACACGUGGAUAACCUACCUAUUAGACUGGGAUAACUUCGGGAAACCGGAGCUAAUACCGGAUAACAUGUUGAACCGCAUGGUUCAACAGUGAAAGACGGUCUUGCUUUUAAUUAUAGAUGGAUCCGCGCCGGAUUAGCUAGUUGGUAAGGUAAAGGCUUACCAAGGCAACGAUGCGUAGCCGAACUGAGGGGGUGAUCGGCCACACGGAAACAGAGACACCGUCCAGACCCCUACGAGAGACAGCAGUAGGGAAUCUUGCGCAAGAGGCGAAUGCCUGACGGAGCAACGCCGCGAGUGAUAAGAAGGUCUGCGGAGCGUAGAACUCUUUUAUGAGGAAAGACCAAAUGUGUAAAUAUCUAUGCACGUCUUGACGGUACCUAAUCAGAAAGCCACGGCUAACUACGUG
rnacentral:rRNA from 1 species